CAGCGCCACGAGUGGUAACCACGUUUAUUGGGCCUAAAGCGUCCGUAGCCGGAUUGAUAAAUCCUUUGUGAAAUUGUGCGGCUCAACCGAACAACGUGCAAGGGACACUGUUAAUCUCGAGACCGGGAGGAGUCAGAAGUAUUCCUGAGGGAGCGGUAAAAUGUUAUAAUCUCAGGAGGACUACCUGUGGCGAAGGCGUCUGACCAGAACGGAUCUGACGGUGAGGGACGAAAGCUAGGGGAGCGAACCGGAUUAGAUACCCGAGUAGUCC
rnacentral:rRNA from 1 species